GACGAACGCUGGCGGCGUGCCUAAUACAUGCAAGUAGAACGCUGAAGAGAGGAGCUUGCUCUUCUUGGAUGAGUUGCGAACGGGUGAGUAACGCGUAGGUAACCUGCCUUGUAGCGGGGGAUAACUAUUGGAAACGAUAGCUAAUACCGCAUAACAAUGGAUGACACAUGUCAUUUAUUUGAAAGGGGCAAUUGCUCCACUACAAGAUGGACCUGCGUUCUAUUAGCUAGUAGGUUAGGUAAUGGCUCACCUAGGCGACGGUACAGAACCGACCUGAGAGGGGGAUUGGCCAAACCGGGAAUGGGACACGGCCCAGAACCCUAAGGGAGGCAGCCGUAGGGAAUCUUCGGGAAAGGGGGCAAAGCUGACCGAGGAACGCCGCGUGAGUGAAGAAGGGUUUCGGAUCGGAAAGCUCUGUUGUAAGUCAAGAACGGGUGUGAGAGUGGAAAGUGCACACUGUGACGGUAGCUUACCAGAAAGGGACGGCUAACUACGUG
rnacentral:rRNA from 1 species